rnacentral:misc_RNA from 1 species
ACUAGAUUUGGGAUGGGCAAACGUAAAUGAUGUUACUAAGCAGAUGAAAUUGCAUUAAAAGCAAAGGAUGACCUUAAAAAAAAAAUGGAAAAAAAAAGGAUGAAUGAUCACAGAGGUAACGGGGAAUCGUGUUUUAUUGAAAACUGUUGUCGAGUUGUAUUAUUAAGAGCCGUUGAUUUCUAUCUUUUGUUUCUUCAAUGUUUACUGUGAUGAACCUAAAAUAGGAAGGCCUCAAUUCAGCUUAGAUGCUGCAGGUGGUGGUAACAACAAGAAAAACUUCAAUGUUGGGUAUAAUGCAGGAUUGGGAACAAGAGUUUGGCAAAGUAAAAGAAAGGACAUGAGUUUGGAUGUCGGAGCAACUUACGGACGAGGUAUAGCUAGAGUAGAUGGCCACACCUUCAAAUCCAAGCCUCAAUAUGGACUUGGUGCCACUUUCAAAUUUGGCAAGAAAUGAGAAUUCAAAAUGACAAACAUACAUGAAGUCACGGAAAAGAAUAUUUAAGCAUAAGCGAAUGUAAAUAUUGUUUUUUCAUGUAAAUAAAAACUUUUCUUACUUUUCUAGA